UGCCUAGCUUAAUCAGAAGGCCUAAGCAAUUCAGCUGUCACGAUGCCUUCUUGUGUGAAUAGAGUAAGAAGUUGUCGAGACAGCUGUGUUGUCUGCGGCCAGCUUGCUUCUGCUUUGUU
rnacentral:precursor_RNA from 10 species